rnacentral:rRNA from 1 species
CCGGCGACCGGCGCACGGGUGAGUAACACGUAUGCAACCUGGCCGUCACAGGUGGAUAACCGGAAGAAAUUCCGACUAAUACAGCAUAACACUCCUGAGGGACAUCCUUCGGGAGUCAAAGGAGGCAACUCCGGUGACGGAUGGGCAUGCGGCGCAUUAGGUAGUUGGUAGGGUAACGGCCUACCAAGCCGACGAUGCGUAGGGGUUCUGAGAGGAAGGUCCCCCACAUUGGAACUGGGACACGGUCCAAACUCCUACGGAAGGCAGCAG